rnacentral:lncRNA from 1 species
AGAGAAUCUAAAUGCCCCUUCAGCUGACGCUGGGUAUGAUCAGAAUAAAACUGACUUUGAUGAGACAUCAUCCAUUAAUACAGCCAUCAGUGACGCAACCACAGGGGAUGAGGGGGCAGCAGACAUGGAAAACACGGGAGGUUCUGAAGAGGUGAAACCAGCUUUGUCCCCUAAAGAAACCAAAAGUCUUGACUCUUUGCCAAAAGCAGGAACCACACCCACCACAGAGGUCUGUGAUGACAAAUUUCUCUUUUCUCUCACAAGUCCAUCAAUCCACUUCAAUGACAAAGAUGGUGACCACGACCAAAGCUUCUACAUCACCGAUGACCCUGACGACAAUGCUGACCGCAGCGAAACAUCUAGCAUAGCUGACCCCAGCUCACCAAAUCCAUUCGGGUCUAGCAACCCCUUUAAAUCCAAAAGCAGUG